rnacentral:tmRNA from 1 species
GGGGGCGAUCUGGUUUCGACGUGGGCUAGAAAGCCAGGGCUGCAUGCCGGGGUUCUGUCCCGCCCGUAAAACGGACAGGCUGCAAUUUAACUGCAGACGAUUUUGAUUACGCUCUUGCUGCCUAGAGCAGCUUGCGUCUUACUGAUCCGCGCCCGUAGGGUUGGCUAAGGCGACACAAAUCGGGAUAAGGCUCGCAUCGUGCCGAAGGGUGCGCGCCCGAAACCUUACUUUGGCUGGUCUGAGGGCAUCCUGCUCGUAGGAGGCCCGAGGAUGAGAUUAAACUACGAGCUACGCAUUGUAGAUGCCUUGAGUGGACUACUCUCGGACGCGGGUUCGAUUCCCGCCGCCUCCAUCC